AGUUAUACUUUUGGACUAUGUGAGCCAUAUGUUCAAUUUUCUAAUUUGAACCGGUUCACAGUUUUGUUGUGAUACAGUGAAUUAUGUAAUUAUAAACCAACAUGAGACAGGAUUGAAUUGGAAAAGUGACAACUUGACACAAAUUUAAAUUGGUUUGAAGAGUCAAGUGACCUCAUCAAAAUCAAUUUUUUUUAAAAUUCCAAGUGCGGCCC
rnacentral:lncRNA from 1 species